rnacentral:rRNA from 1 species
UUUCCGUAGGUGAACCUGCGGAAGGAUCAUUACAGAGUUCAUGCCCUUCGGGGUAGAUCUCCCACCCUUGUAUACCAUUAUCAAAAUGUUGCUUUGGCGGGCCGCGAGCCUGGCUUGCCCGGAUUGGCGUCCGGCGUGCCCGCCAGAGGACCCAUAAACUCUGAAUGUUAGUGUCGUCUGAGUACUAUUAAAUAGUUAAAACUUUCAACAACGGAUCUCUUGGUUCUGGCAUCGAUGAAGAACGCAGCGAAAUGCGAUAAGUAAUGUGAAUUGCAGAAUUCAGUGAAUCAUCGAAUCUUUGAACGCACAUUGCGCCCCUUGGUAUUCUGGGGGGCAUGCCUGUUCGAGCGUCAUUAAUACCAAUCUAGCCCGGCUAGGUGUUGGGCCUCGCCGUUGGGCGGGCCUUAAAAUCAGUGGCGGCGCUUCUCAGCUCUACGCGUAGUAAUUCUCCUCGCUACAGGGCCUGUGAAGUUGCUGGCCAGCAACCCCGAAUUUUUCUAGGUUGACCUCGGAUCAGGUAGGGAUACCCGCUGAACUUAA